UACAGAGGGGGCGAGCGUUGUUCGGACUUACUGGGCGUAAAGCGCGCGUAGGCGGCCCGGUAAGUCCGCUGUGAAAGUCAAAGGCUCAACCUUUGAAUGUCAGCGGAUACUGCCGGGCUAGAGUCCGGAAGAGGCGAGUGGAACUCCUGGUGUAGCGGUGGAAUGCGCAGAUAUCAGGAAGAAUACCAACGGCGAAGGCAGCUCGCUGGGACGGAACUGACGCUGAGGCGCGAAAGCGUGGGGAGCGAACAGG
rnacentral:rRNA from 1 species